rnacentral:rRNA from 1 species
GAUGAACGCUGGUGGCGUGCCUAACACAUGCAAGUCGAGCGAUUCUCUUCGGAGAAGAGCGGCGGACGGGUGAGUAACGCGUGGGUAACCUGCCCUGUACACACGGAUAACAUACCGAAAGAUAUGCUAAUACGAGAUAACAUGCUUUUAUCGCAUGGUAGAAGUAUCAAAGCUUUUGCGGUACAGGAUGGACCCGCGUCUGAUUAGCUAGUUGGUGAGGUAACGGCUCACCAAGGCGACGAUCAGUAGCCGACCUGAGAGGGUGAUCGGCCACAUUGGAACUGAGACACGGUCCAAACUCCUACGGGAGGCAGCAGUGGGGAAUAUUGCACAAUGGGCGAAAGCCUGAUGCAGCAACGCCGCGUGAGCGAUGAAGGCCUUCGGGUCGUAAAGCUCUGUCCUCAAGGAAGAUAAUGACGGUACUUGAGGAGGAAGCCCCGGCUAACUACGUG